rnacentral:rRNA from 1 species
CCUACGGGUGGCAGCAGUAGGGAAUAUUGCUCAAUGGGGGAAACCCUGAAGCAGCAACGCCGCGUGGAGGAUGAAGGUUUUCGGAUUGUAAACUCCUUUUGUUAGAGAAGAUAAUGACGGUAUCUAACGAAUAAGCACCGGCGAACUCCGGGCCAGCAGCCGCGGUAAUACGGAGGGUGCAAGCGUUACUCGGAAUGACUGGGCGUAAAGAGCGCGUAGGCGGGAUAGCAAGUCAGAUGUGAAAUCCUAUGGCUUAACCAUAGAACUGCAUUUGAAACUGUUAGUCUAGAGUAUGGGAGAGGUAGGUGGAAUUCUUGGUGUAGGGGUAAAAUGCGUAGAGAUCAAGAGGAAUACUCAUUGCGAAGGCGACCUGCUAGAACAUAACUGACGCUGAUGCGCGAAAGCGUGGGGAGCAAACAGGAUUAGAUACCCGAGUAGUC